UACAACUUGUAGACAAGA
rnacentral:piRNA from 1 species